rnacentral:rRNA from 1 species
GCCCAGCACUGAAGCCCACAAUCGGAUAACGGUUGUCGGGCAAUGUAGUGUUUAGGAGAGCCCGUUUAACCUGAUACAUUUAUUAGCGAGUUCAAGUCCUUCUUGAAGGGGGCCACACGCCCAUAGAGGGUGCCAGGCCCGUAGUGACCGUUAAUAUGUUCAGGUGGGUCUUCUCCUUAGAGUCGGGUUGCUUGAGAGUGCAGCUCUAAGUGGGUGGUAAACUCCAUCUAAGGCUAAAUAUAACCACGAGACCGAUAGCGAACAAGUACCGUGAGGGAAAGUUGAAAAGAACUUUGAAGAGAGAGUUCAAGAGUACGUGAAACCGUUCAGGGGUAAACCUGAGAAACCCGAAAGUUCGAACGAGGAGAUUCAAUUGCUUUUUCCGAUAGUUACCAAUAUGGCAGUGCUCGAGACAAUAUAUGACUGAUAUGAUUUCGAUUGUAUUUGCUUAUAUGUUGCUCCAUUGUCUAUUGAUAUGUAUAUUAUCCGGAGGCAUGCACUUCUCCUCUUGUAGGACGUCGCGACCCGUUGGGCUCACACACGCAAUAACAUUGUUAUUGUGUGUAAAAGUUAUCUAAGGCCCAUGGUGAUCAGACCGUAGCAUGUAUGUUUACGCAUAUAUGUCUCGGACCCCUGGUGUCCCGAUAGCUGCCUGACGGUAUCUGAUUCUGGUGAUGGAACGCUGAUAUAUUCAGUGUGAGAGCGUUUAUUGCAACUCGUAACAAGUUAUUAUUAUGUUAUGGAAACACGGACCACGUUGCCGGUUCUGUACAUAUAAUGCUGUUAGUUACCGAUGUUCUUGAACAGUUUCUAUCACUUGUCGGCGACGCUUCAGUUUUGGGUAAUUUCAGGACCCGUCUUGAAACACGGACCAAGGAGUCUAGCAUGUGCGCGAGUCAUUGGGCUCAAUUAGAAACCUAAAGGCGUAAUGAAAGUGAAUGUUUGCCACACAUGCAUUUAACAUUGUAUAUUUAUAUGCUGUGUUUUUUGUGUGCCUGUGCGUAAACUAAGGGAAGAUGGGUGGUCCAUAUAUUAAUGUAAAAAUUAGUAUAUAUCAGAUGACUGCCUCGCAUUCCCGGGGCGUCGCUAUAA